ACUCCCCAUCUACCAGUUGCUCAAUGAUAUUGAAGUGGUCGGUGUUCGCCACAUCCUCCAUGGUCACGUUAAGUCCUGACGCCUCUAAAGUCUUUAAAGCCAGAAGAAAGAGGUAAAGUUGCAUGCACUGCAGUAAGGAACGUACUCUGUCAUCUUCAAAGGUUCGUUGAUGUAGGUGGACAAGAUGGGCAGGAGGUCAUAUAUGCCACUAACAAGAAAAGCACCUGUUCGACAGAUGGAGACAAAACUAGAUCAGGUAUACGUCUUUGCGUCUCAACUUUGCAUUUCUUGUCCCAUUUUACCGGAUGGACCUUACCUUUGAUCUGAGGAGUGAUGCUGUACUGCGACCAGUCAGUGGAGAGGACCAUUGCAGCCAGCAAGACAAACAAUCUUAUCGGAAAUGAAGAGACUCUACCUUUGGGGGCGGUGUCAUAAUCAACAGCAACCACCACUACACCUUUGUCAACGAGUGGAACAGCCAUGAAUCCUGACUCCUCCUUGCUGUACGAGCACACAGCAUCAAUCAGACAAACCUGAACAAGACAUUUAAAUCUGCAAUGUCGAAGACAACACAACAUUACCUGAGAAACUGCCAGUAGCCUCCAUGUAGGUAAAUGACAAGGGGGACAUCUGAAACAGAGGGAAUCAGGCCUGUUAAUCCUCACGCAUUAUGUAAGCUUCUGCUAUUUGAAGCAUGCCAAGGGAGGGUAGUUGGUGUCAUGGCAGUCACACAUGCCAAUACCCAAAGA